rnacentral:rRNA from 1 species
CCUACGGGUGGCAGCAGUGAGGAAUAUUGGUCAAUGGGCGCGAGCCUGAACCAGCCAAGUAGCGUGAAGGAUGACUGCCCUACGGGUUGUAAACUUCUUUUAUAAAGGAAUAAAGUUAGGCACGUGUGCCUUUUUGUAUGUACUUUAUGAAUAAGGAUCGGCUAACUCCGUGCCAGCAGCCGCGGUAAUACGGAGGAUGCGAGCGUUAUCCGGAUUUAUUGGGUUUAAAGGGAGCGUAGAUGGGUUGUUAAGUCAGUUGUAAAAGUUUGCGGCUCAACCGUAAAAUUGCCAUUGAUACUGGCAGUCUUGAGUACAGUUGAGGUAGGCGGAAUGCGUGGUGUAGCGGUGAAAUGCUUAGAUAUCACGAAGAACUCCGAUUGCGAAGGCAGCUUACUAAGCUGCAACUGACAUUGAUGCUCGAAAGUGUGGGUAUCAAACAGGAUUAGAUACCCGGGUAGUC